UACGUAGGGGGCAAGCGUUGUCCGGAAUCAUUGGGCGUAAAGAGCGUGUAGGCGGCCCGAUAAGUCCGCUGUGAAAGUCCAGGGCUCAACCCUGGAAUGCCAGUGGAAACUGUCGGGCUUGAGUCCGGAAGGGGCGAGUGGAAUUCCUGGUGUAGCGGUGGAAUGCGCAGAUAUCAGGAGGAACACCAAUAGCGAAGGCAGCUCGCUGGGACGUUACUGACACUGAGGCGCGAAAGCGUGGGGAGCGAACAGG
rnacentral:rRNA from 1 species